AAAAAAUUAGUUAAAAAAAUAACAUUAGUAUGUCAAACUAAAAUUAUUGAAAUAAUCAAUAUUUUUUAAUUCCACAAA
rnacentral:tRNA from 1 species